UGUCAGUGCAGUAAAAGAAGGGUUGUUUUCUCACUGCCCCAUGGAGCCUGCCAUUGUACUUCUUUGCUUAGUAGCAGCUCCUCUGUAUGUCCACUCCACCAUCCAACUUGUGGAAUCUGGGCCAGGAAUAGUGAGCCCUGGAGGAUCCUUCAGAUUAACUUGCAAAGUGACAGGGGAAUCCAUUGAGAAUGUAUACUUGGCAUGGAUCCGCCAGGCUCCAGGAAAAGGAUUGGAAUGGGUCGGUGACAUAGCCUUGGAGGAGGGUGAAUGGAGUACAGACUAUGCCUCAUCCCUCCAAAGUCGAACGACCUUGACAGCCGAUGACUCCAAGAAUGAAUGUUACUUGACAAUGAAAUCCCUGACAGCUGCAGACUCAGCCACAUAUUACUGUGCAGGAGAGUCACAGUGA